rnacentral:rRNA from 1 species
GACAGAGGGUGCGAACGUUGUUCGGAAUUACUGGGCGUAAAGCGCGUGUAGGCGGCAGCGUGUGUCGGGCGUGAAAUCCCACGGCUCAACCGUGGAAGUGCACUCGAAACUGCGCAGCUAGAGUCCUGGAGAGGAAGGUGGAAUGCUUGGUGUAGAGGUGAAAUUCGUAGAUAUCAAGCGGAACACCGGUGGCGAAGGCGGCCUUCUGGACAGUGACUGACGCUGAGACGCGAAAGCGUGGGGAGCAAACAGG